rnacentral:rRNA from 1 species
UUCGAUUCUGGCUCAGGACGAACGCUGGCGGCGUGCUUAACACAUGCAAGUUGAACGGUAUGACAUGGGAGCUUGCUGAAGUGUCAUAUAGUAGCGGACGGGUGAGUAAUGCAUGAGAAGCUGCCAUUGGGAGGGGGACAACAGUUGGAAACGGCUGCUAAUACCCCGUAUGCCGGAGGGUGAAAGGGAGUAAUCCGCCCGAUGAGGUGCUCAUGUCCUAUCAGCUGGUUGGUGGGGUAACGGCCUACCAAGGCGACGACGGGUAGCCGGCCUGAGAGGGUGAACGGCCACACUGGAACUGAGAUACGGUCCAGACUCCUACGGGAGGCAGCAGUGGGGAAUAUUGGGCAAAUGGGGGCAACCCUGACCCAGCGACGCCGCGUGGGGGAAGACGGCCUUCGGGUUGUAAACCUCUUUUGUACGGGAAGAAGGAAGUGACGGUACUGUACGAAUAAGUCCCGGCUAACUACGUGCCAGCCGCAGC